rnacentral:tRNA from 1 species
GAUGCCAAGAUGGUUGCCCACCUCGCACCCAAGGACA